GGCUUUAUAGUCAAUAAUGACAUUAGACUGCAAUUCUAAAGGAAUAAUAAAUUAUUAAGGCUU
rnacentral:tRNA from 1 species